GGAGGGAUGGCUGAGUGGACGAAAGCAUCGGUCUUGAAAACCGACGACCCGCAAGGGUCCGUGGGUUCGAAUCCCACUCCCUCCGCCA
rnacentral:tRNA from 1 species